AAUGCGAUCGUAGUUUCGUAACAUAUGCAAAUGAUUUUCAUUUGACCAAUCAAAUAAAAGAUUGUUGUUUACAAUGAUGUAAGCCGCUUAGUUCUACGACAAAAAAAAAUGAAACAAUAAAGCCCUAAAGUUAGACGAAAAUGGAACGAAAAGUAUAGAAAAUUCAUAAUAGCGGCAUAUAUCGUAAAAAAAUUCAAUUUCUGCUGGUGAAAAUGGUGUAUAAAUUGUUAAAAUUGAGUAGAAAUUGACGAUCGCAUCGUGAUUCGAAUGUGCGGGGUCAUCAAGGCCACGCGGUUGAGAUUUUUUUCCAUACGACGCCAUCUUGAAAAAUUCCAAAAUUGUUUACUCACUGUAGUUGAAUCGAUAAAUAUAUCGAUUUAAUUGUUCGAAACAGAAACCAACUAUGCAGUGUGACGGAGACAUACACCCUGGUCCGUUCUGUCAAAAAUACAACGUUAAGAUUUCAUUCAUGGCUGUGCAAAGCUGAAGAGUGUCCUCCGGAACUGUCAAAUGUAGACAUUUAAAAUGGACUGGUUUUGGAGCUUGUGCAUUUUGCAUCACACCAAAAGUUGAAUGCAUGAACCCGGGGCGCCAGAGGUUCUUCAAGGAUUACAUUGAACUCAAUGAACUGUAUAACAAAUACAAAGAGUGUUUUUUCACAUAAAUGUGCUGUUGCAUUUAAACAAUAAAUUCAGCUGCUACUAUA